GACGAACGCUGGCGGCGCGCCUAACACAUGCAAGUCGAACGGAGCAUUGAGAGCUUGCUUUUAAUGCUUAGUGGCGAACGGGUGAGUAACGCGUGAGUAACCUGCCCUCGAGUGGGGGACAACAGUUGGAAACGACUGCUAAUACCGCAUAAGACCACGGGAUCGCAUGAUUCUGAGGUAAAAGGAUUUAUUCGCUUGAGGAUGGACUCGCGUCCAAUUAGCUAGUUGGUGAGGUAACGGCCCACCAAGGCGACGAUUGGUAGCCGGACUGAGAGGUUGAACGGCCACAUUGGGACUGAGACACGGCCCAGACUCCUACGGGAGGCAGCAGUGGGGGAUAUUGCACAAUGGGGGAAACCCUGAUGCAGCGACGCCGCGUGAAGGAAGAAGGCCUUCGGGUUGUAAACUUCUGUCGUACGGGACGAUAAUGACGGUACCGUACAAGAAAGCCACGGCUAACUACGUGCCAGCAGCCGCGGUAAAACGUAGGUGGCAAGCGUUGUCCGGAAUUACUGGGUGUAAAGGGAGCGCAGGCGGACUAGCAAGUUGGAAGUGAAAUCUAUGGGCUCAACCCAUAAAUUGCUUUCAAAACUGCCGGUCUUGAGUAGUGCAGAGGUAGGCGGAAUUCCCGGUGUAGCGGUGGAAUGCGUAGAUAUCGGGAGGAACACCAGUGGCGAAGGCGGCCUACUGGGCACCAACUGACGCUGAGGCUCGAAAGUAUGGGUAGCAAACAGGAUUAGAUACCCUGGUAGUCCAUACCGUAAACGAUGAUUACUAGGUGUUGGAGGAUUGACCCAUUCAGUGCCGCAGUUAACACAAUAAGUAAUCCACCUGGGGAGUACGGCCGCAAGGUUGAAACUCAAAGGAAUUGACGGGGGCCCGCACAAGCAGUGGAGUAUGUGGUUUAAUUCGACGCAACGCGAAGAACCUUACCAAGACUUGACAUAUACUAGAAAUCCUAAGAAAUUAGGACCCUCUUCGGAGCUGGUAAACAGGUGAUGCAUGGUUGUCGUCAGCUCGUGUCGUGAGAUGUUGGGUUAAGUCCCGCAACGAGCGCAACCCUCGUGAUUAGUUGCUACCAAGUAGAACUCUAAUCAGACUGCCGUAGUUAAUACGGAGGAAGGUGAGGAUGACGUCAAAUCAUCACGUCCCUUACGUCUUGGGCUACACACGUACUACAAUGGGUGUUACAGAGAGAAGCGAAUCCGCGAGGAGGAGCAAAUCUGAAAAAAGCAUCCCUAGUUCGGAUUGUAGGCUGCAACCCGCCUACAUGAAGCUGGAAUUGCUAGUAAUCACGGGUCAGCAUACCGUGGUGAAUACGUUCCCGGGCCUUGUACACACCGCCCGUCACACCAUGAGAGUUGAGAAUACCCGAAGUC
rnacentral:rRNA from 1 species